UGUCCCUGCUCAGUGACCCUUUUGCAGGCCCUGGAGCUGCUAGCUCUCAGCUAGAACUUGAAGGGACCCUCCACCUGGAGACACUAUGGCCCAAACCCCACAGUUGAGGAAAGAAAUCGUAAUAAGAGAGAUAGAGGGGGUUCCUCUGUUACAGGCAGCAGCGGACAACUGGAGCCAUAUCCAGAACUUUCAGGCCAAGCCAGAUGAUCUCCUCAUCUGUACCUACCCUAAAUCAGGAACAACAUGGAUCCAGGAAAUUGUGGAUAUGAUUGAACAGAAUGGGGAUGUGGAGAAGUGCCAGCGAGCCCUCAUUCAUCAUCGCCACCCUUUUAUUGAGUGGGCAAAGCCGCCCCAGCCCU